rnacentral:tRNA from 2 species
GCGCCGAUAGCUCAGCUGGAUAGAGUGUUUGGCUACGAACCAAAAGGUCGGGGGUUCGAAUCCCUUUCGGCGUACCA